GACCCGUUCCCCGAGCAGUCUCCGUAUGGUGUGCGCGCCCUGAAGGGCUAGGGGGCGGGUCGCUU
rnacentral:sRNA from 26 species